AUUCGGAGAUGAUUGCGUUGAAUCUCAUCUCGCUUAUAAAUAAUAAAGCAAAACGUUCUACAGUCGCUCAAUAGUGGCUCACAUUUCACCAGUGAAGGGUUUCCGCGGAAUUCAGUUGUUAUUUUGAUUGGUGUGUAUUAUAAGCAAAACAGUAGUUUUAUUGUUAAAUGGUGGACGAGAUGCUGACCGCAAAUUUACUAUCAAGAUUGCUAUUUCGAUCCGAGGGAAGGCGAACGACGACAAAAAGUCACCCGCUGGUAGUGGCUUUGUCUUAGUCGGUAAGUUGCUCAGGGGAAACUGUGCUUCACCCCUACGCCACGGGACUAUUCAAGGAAACAAAUUAGAACCAAUAAUCCCGGUCAUUAUGACAUAAUUAAGCAAUGUCCAACUAGCCUAUUACAUAGUGAACGUGAGAAAAUCCAUCUUCCUAGCAGUCAGUAAUGAUGUCAUCUCCUGGAAUACUAGCAAUAAGUUCACUAUUAUAUAAGUUGUCAUUAAAUUCAAUCGAAGCAUUGUGAUCAAAGGGUGAUUCGGACUCCAAAACAUCAACCGUCACUCAGCUCCCCAAUAAUUCGCAGGCAUUCCGUUAGCACUCGAAUAUUUAGAACCCACUGUGCAGGCCACUCUGAAAGCUGCUAAAUUAGUUUAUUGUAUUUUAUCUGCCCACGCGUUUCCGACCCCACUACGCACGAGGGCACGUGUCCGGUAUCACCCGCACCACGGCUGGAUGCGUCGUGUCAUGGCACCAGCUCUUAGAGAUGAAACAAUGAACCCCCUUUACAGACAGGAUAGGCGGCCUGUAGCCGUUGAACGCCAUCCCAGGGUCACCCCUUUUUGCAAGUUAUCACCCGACGACGCGUCGUCACUGCAGCCAUCGUUAGGGCCCUGAGCGCGCUGAAAGUGUUGCAACUGUCAUCCACAGAUAUUUCCAAAUAAAUUUCAU